GACCCCGUAGCUCAACCGGAUAGAGCGCCAGUCUUCUAAACUGGAUGUUGUGUGUUCGAGUCACACCGGGGUCGCCA
rnacentral:tRNA from 2 species